GCAUGGUGAAUUCAGUUGGUUAGAACGCCACAUCUUAUAAGUAACCGUGGAAACGCGGGUUCAAUUCCUGCACUGGGC
rnacentral:tRNA from 1 species